rnacentral:snoRNA from 1 species
GCCCUGUGGUUGCUGGGGCUGUUGUUCAAGUACGGCUUGCCAGUCGAUGGCGAUGGGCCAGAGCAAUGCUGUGAUGUAUGCAUGGAGGCUGUUCCUAUUCAGCAGCCUCCAUAGCCCGGCCACUGGUACAUGA